AGAAGCUUAGGUUAAACUAGACCAAAAGCCUUCAAAGCUUUAAGCAAGUAUAGUCUACUUAGCUUCUG
rnacentral:tRNA from 1 species